GACGAACGCUGGCGGCGUGCUUAACACAUGCAAGUCGAACGGAAAGGCCCUGCUUUUGUGGGGUGCUCGAGUGGCGAACGGGUGAGUAACACGUGAGUAACCUGCCCUUGACUUUGGGAUAACUUCAGGAAACUGGGGCUAAUACCGGAUAGGAGCUCCUGCUGCAUGGUGGGGGUUGGAAAGUUUCGGCGGUUGGGGAUGGACUCGCGGCUUAUCAGCUUGUUGGUGGGGUAGUGGCUUACCAAGGCUUUGACGGGUAGCCGGCCUGAGAGGGUGACCGGCCACAUUGGGACUGAGAUAAGGCCCAGACUCCUACGGGAGGCAGCAGUGGGGAAUAUUGCACAAUGGGCGGAAGCCUGAUGCAGCAACGCCGCGCGCGGGAUGACGGCCUUCGGGUUGUAAACCGCUUUCGCCUGUGACGAAGCGUGAGUGACGGUAAUGGGUAAAGAAGCACCGGCUAACUACGUG
rnacentral:rRNA from 1 species